GUCAGAAGGAGGAGGACCUGUUUCAUAUAAAUCAUAUAAGUUUAUUGAGGGCUGUAAAGAAAAUUAUAUUAAAUUGAGAUAAAAUUUUUGCGACAAAUUAUAAUGUGGAAAUUUUAGCAUCGCAAUGUCAAACAGAUAAAUACAGGUAAAACUAUAUUUACAAACUUCAUAAUAUAAUUUUUCUUUAUUAAUUAUCAAUAAAAAGUUUGGGAAAAAAAGAAUUAAUGAAAAAUAAAU